rnacentral:rRNA from 1 species
CGGCUCAGGAUGAACGCUGGCGGCGUGCUUAACACAUGCAAGUCGAACGAACCUUCGGGUUAGUGGCGGACGGGUGAGUAACGCGUGAGAAUCUGCCCUCAGGAGGGGGACAACAGCUGGAAACGGCUGCUAAUACCCCAUAUGCCGCGAGGUGAAAUGAAUUUCGCCUGAGGAUGAGCUCGCGUCUGAUUAGCUAGUUGGUGUAGGUAAUGGCUCACCAAGGCAUCGAUCAGUAGCUGGUCUGAGAGGAUGAUCAGCCACACUGGGACUGAGACACGGCCCAGACUCCUACGGGAGGCAGCAGUGGGGAAUUUUCCGCAAUGGGCGAAAGCCUGACGGAGCAACGCCGCGUGAGGGAUGAAGGCCUCUGGGCUGUAAACCUCUUUUAUCAAGGAAGAAGAUCUGACGGUACUUGAUGAAUAAGCCACGGCUAAUUCCGUG